AUGGCUCACCAAGGCUACGAUGGGUAGGGGUUCUUAGUGGAAGGUCCCCCACACUGGCACUGAGAUACGGGCCAGACUCCUACGGGAGGCAGCAGUAGGGAAUAUUGGUCAAUGGGCGCAAGCCUGAACCAGCCAUGCCGAGUGCAGGAUGAAGGCUCUCUGAGUUGUAAACUGCUUUUGUACAGGAGCAAAAAAGCCCCUGCGGGGGCUCUUGAGAGUACUGUAAGAAUAAGCACCGGCUAAUUCCGUGCCAGCAGCCGCGGUAAUACGGAAGGUGCAAGCGUUAUCCGGUUUUAUUGGGUUUAAAGGGUGCGUAGGCGGCUUAUUAAGUCAGUUGUGAAAUCCUAGUGCUUAACGCUAGAACUGCGAUUGAUACUAUUAGGCUUGAGUUAAGAAUAGGUA
rnacentral:rRNA from 1 species